rnacentral:tRNA from 1 species
GAGAAAGUCAUAAGAACUGCUAACUCUUAACCCCAUGACUAAUAAUCAUGGCUUUCU